rnacentral:rRNA from 1 species
AACGCUAGCUACAGGCUUAACACAUGCAAGUCGAGGGGCAGCAUGGUCUUAGCUUGCUAAGGCCGAUGGCGACCGGCGCACGGGUGAGUAACACGUAUCCAACCUGCCGUCUACUCUCGGACAGCCUUCUGAAAGGAAGAUUAAUACAAGAUGGCAUCAUGAGUCCGCAUGUUCACAUGAUUAAAGGUAUUCCGGUAGACGAUGGGGAUGCGUUCCAUUAGAUAGUAGGCGGGGUAACGGCCCACCUAGUCUUCGAUGGAUAGGGGUUCUGAGAGGAAGGUCCCCCACAUUGGAACUGAGACACGGUCCAAACUCCUACGGGAGGCAGCAGUGAGGAAUAUUGGUCAAUGGGCGCAGGCCUGAACCAGCCAAGUAGCGUGAAGGAUGACUGCCCUAUGGGUUGUAAACUUCUUUUAUAAAGGAAUAAAGUCGGGUAUGUAUACCCGUUUGCAUGUACUUUAUGAAUAAGGAUCGGCUAACUCCGUGCCAGCAGCCGCGGUAAUACGGAGGAUCCGAGCGUUAUCCGGAUUUAUUGGGUUUAAGGGGAGCGUAGAUGGAUGUUUAAGUCAGUUGUGAAAGUUUGCGGCUCAACCGUAAAAUUGCAGUUGAUACUGGAUAUCUUGAGUGCAGUUGAGGCAGGCGGAAUUCGUGGUGUAGCGGUGAAAUGCUUAGAUAUCACGAAGAACUCCGAUUG